GGGGGUAUAGCUCAAGUGGUAGAGUACAUGCUUAGCAUGCAUGAGGUCCUGGGUUCAAUCUCCAGUACCUCCU
rnacentral:tRNA from 1 species